AGCGAACGCUGGCGGCAGGCCUAACACAUGCAAGUCGAACGGAAAGGCCCUUCGGGGUACUCGAGUGGCGAACGGGUGAGUAACACGUGGGUGAUCUGCUCUGCACUUUGGGAUAAGCCUGGGAAACUGGGUCUAAUACCGAAUAUGACCGCGCUCUUCAUGGGGUGUGGUGGAAAGCUUUUGCGGUGUGGGAUGGGCCCGCGGCCUAUCAGCUUGUUGGUGGGGUAAUGGCCUACCAAGGCGACGACGGGUAGCCGGCCUGGGAGGGUGACCGGCCACGCUGGGACUGAGAUACGGCCCAGACUCCUACGGGAGGCAGCAGUGGGGAAUAUUGCACAAUGGGCGCAAGCCUGAUGCAGCGACGCCGCGUGAGGGAUGACGGCCUUCGGGUUGUAAACCUCUUUCAAUAGGGACGAAGCGCAAGUGACGGUACCUAUAGAAGAAGGACCGGCCAACUACGUGCCAGCCGCCGCGGUAAUAC
rnacentral:rRNA from 1 species